AUUGAACGCUGGCGGCAUGCCUUACACAUGCAAGUCGAACGGUAACAGGUCUUCGGAUGCUGACGAGUGGCGAACGGGUGAGCAAUACAUCGGAACGUGCCUAGUAGUGGGGGAUAACUACUCGAAAGAGUGGCUAAUACCGCAUGAGAUCUACGGAUGAAAGCAGGGGAUCGCAAGACCUUGUGCUACUAGAGCGGCCGAUGGCAGAUUAGGUAGUUGGUGGGAUAAAAGCUUACCAAGCCGACGAUCUGUAGCUGGUCUGAGAGGACGAUCAGCCACACUGGGACGGAGACACGGCCCAGACUCCUACGGGAGGCAGCAGUGGGGAAUUUUGGACAAUGGGCGAAAGCCUGAUCCAGCAAUGCCGCGUGCAGGAUGAAGGCCUUCGGGUUGUAAACUGCUUUUGUACGGAACGAAAAGCCCCGGGUUAAUACCCUGGGGUCAUGACGGUACCGUAAGAAUAAGCACCGGCUAACUACGUGCCAGCCGCCGCUGUAA
rnacentral:rRNA from 1 species